GAAUCCGGGAGGACCAUCUCCCAAGGCUAAAUACUCCCUAGUGACCGAUAGUGAACCAGUACCGUGAGGGAAAGGUGAAAAGCACCCCGGAAGGGGAGUGAAACAGUUCCUGAAACCGUGUGCCUACAAGUAGUUAGAGCCCGUUAAUGGGUGAUAGCGUGCCUUUUGUAGAAUGAACCGGCGAGUUACGAUUUGUUGCAAGGUUAAGCGGAAAAAGCGGAGCCGUAGCGAAAGCGAGUCUGAAUAGGGCGCAUAAGUAACAGGUCGUAGACCCGAAACCAGGUGAUCUACCCAUGUCCAGGAUGAAGGUAAGGUAAUACUUACUGGAGGUCCGAACCCACGCACGUUGAAAAGUGCGGGGAUGAGGUGUGGGUAGCGGAGAAAUUCCAAUCGAACUUGGAGAUAGCUGGUUCUCUCCGAAAUAGCUUUAGGGCUAGCCUCGAGGUAAAGAGUCAUGGAGGUAGAGCACUGUUUGGACUAGGGGCCCUUCUCGGGUUACCGAAUUCAGAUAAACUCCGAAUGCCAUGUACUUAUACUCGGGAGUCAGACUGCGAGUGAUAAGAUCCGUAGUCGAAAGGGAAACAGCCCAGACCACCAGUUAAGGUCCCCAAAUAUAUGUUAAGUGGAAAAGGAUGUGGGGUUGCUUAGACAACCAGGAUGUUGGCUUAGAAGCAGCCACCAUUGAAAGAGUGCGUAAUAGCUCACUGGUCGAGUGACCCCGCGCCGAAAAUGUACCGGGGCUAAACAUAUUACCGAAACUGUGGAUGAACCUCUUUAGAGGUUCGUGGUAGGAGAGCGUUCUAAGGGCGGUGAAGUCAGACCGGAAGGACUGGUGGAGCGCUUAGAAGUGAGAAUGCCGGUAUGAGUAGCGAAAGAAGGGUGAGAAUCCCUUCCACCGAAUAUCUAAGGUUUCCUGAGGAAGGCUCGUCCGCUCAGGGUUAGUCGGGACCUAAGCCGAGGCCGAUAGGCGUAGGCGAUGGACAACAGGUAGAGAUUCCUGUACCAGUGCUAAUUGUUUAACCGAUGGGGUGACACAGAAGGAUAGGGAAUCGCACGAAUGGAAAUGUGCGUCCAAGCAGUGAGUGUGAGAAGUAGGCAAAUCCGCUUCUCGCGAAGCAUGAGCUGUGAUGGGGAAGGAAAUUAAGUACGGAAGUUCCUGAUUUCACGCUGUCAAGAAAAGCCUCUAGGAAGAGUAGUACUGCCCGUACCGCAAACCGACACAGGUAGAUGAGGAGAGAAUCCUAAGGUGAGCGAGAGAACUCUCGUUAAGGAACUCGGCAAAAUGACCCCGUAACUUCGGGAGAAGGGGUGCUCUAUUAGGGUGCAAGCCCGAGAGAGCCGCAGUGAAUAGGCCCAGGCGACUGUUUAGCAAAAACACAGGUCUCUGCAAAACCGUAAGGUGACGUAUAGGGGCUGACGCCUGCCCGGUGCUGGAAGGUUAAGAGGAGUGCUUAGCUUCGGCGAAGGUACGAAUUGAAGCCCCAGUAAACGGCGGCCGUAACUAUAACGGUCCUAAGGUAGCGAAAUUCCUUGUCGGGUAAGUUCCGACCCGCACGAAAGGCGCAACGAUCUGGGCACUGUCUCAACGAGAGACUCGGUGAAAUUAUAGUACCUGUGAAGAUGCAGGUUACCCGCGACAGGACGGAAAGACCCCGUGGAGCUUUACUGCAACCUGAUAUGGAAUGUUUGUACCGCUUGUACAGGAUAGGUAGGAGCCGAAGAGACGUGUGCGCUAGCAUACGAGGAGGCAAUGGUGGGAUACUACCCUGGCUGUAUGACCAUUCUAACCCGCCACGCUUAGCGCGUGGGGAGACAGUGUCAGGUGGGCAGUUUGACUGGGGCGGUCGCCUCCUAAAGAGUAACGGAGGCGCCCAAAGGUUCCCUCAGAAUGGAUGGAAAUCAUUCGCAGAGUGUAAAGGCACAAGGGAGCUUGACUGCGAGACUGACAAGUCGAGCAGGGACGAAAGUCGGGCUUAGUGAUCCGGUGGUUCCGCAUGGAAGGGCCAUCGCUCAACGGAUAAAAGCUACCCCGGGGAUAACAGGCUUAUCUCCCCCAAGAGUCCACAUCGACGGGGAGGUUUGGCACCUCGAUGUCGGCUCGUCGCAUCCUGGGGCUGUAGUCGGUCCCAAGGGUUGGGCUGUUCGCCCAUUAAAGCGGCACGCGAGCUGGGUUCAGAACGUCGUGAGACAGUUCGGUCCCUAUCCGUCGCGGGCGCAGGAAAUUUGAGAGGAGCUGUCCUUAGUACGAGAGGACCGGGAUGGACACACCGCUGGUGUACCAGUUGUUCCGCCAGGAGCAUCGCUGGGUAGCUAUGUGUGGCAGGGAUAAACGCUGAAAGCAUCUAAGCGUGAAGCCCCCCUCAAGAUGAGAUUUCCCAUUUCUUCGGAAAGUAAGAUCCCUGAAAGAUGAUCAGGUAGAUAGGUUUGGAGUGGAAGUGUAGCGAUACAUGGAGCGGACAAAUACUAAUCGAUCGAGGACUUAACCAAAA
rnacentral:rRNA from 1 species